rnacentral:rRNA from 1 species
ACAGAGGGGGCAAGCGUUAUUCGGAAUUAUUGGGCGUAAAGGGCGCGUAGGCGGCUUGGCAAGUGGAUGGUGAAAUCCCUCGGCUUAACCGAGGAACUGCCGUCCAAACUGCUUGGCUUGAGACCGGGAGAGGUGAGUGGAAUUCCCAGUGUAGCGGUGAAAUGCGUAGAUAUUGGGAGGAACACCAGUGGCGAAGGCGGCUCACUGGACCGGUACUGACGCUGAGGCGCGAAAGCGUGGGGAGCAAACGGGAUUAGAUACCCCGGUAGUCCACGCCGUAAACGAUGAGUGCUUGGUGUAGCGGGUAUCGACCCCUGCUGUGCCGAAGUCAACACAUUAAGCACUCCGCCUGGGGAGUACGGUCGCAAGGCUG